rfam:Zootermopsis nevadensis contig3026, whole genome shotgun sequence.
GCCACGGUUGUCUAGCGGUUAGAACGCUGGCCUUGUAAUCCGGGGGUCUCGGGUUCGAUUCCCGGCGGUGCCC